rnacentral:rRNA from 1 species
AAUGAACGCUGGCGGCAUGCCUAACACAUGCAAGUCGAACGAAGGCUUCGGCCUUAGUGGCGCACGGGUGCGUAACGCGUGGGAAUCUGCCCUUGGGUUCGGAAUAACAGUUAGAAAUGACUGCUAAUACCGGAUGAUGUCGUAAGACCAAAGAUUUAUCGCCCAAGGAUGAGCCCGCGUAGGAUUAGCUAGUUGGUGGGGUAAAGGCCUACCAAGGCGACGAUCCUUAGCUGGUCUGGGAGGAUGAUCAGCCACACUGGGACUGAGACACGGCCCAGACUCCUACGGGAGGCAGCAGUGGGGAAUAUUGGACAAUGGGCGAAAGCCUGAUCCAGCAAUGCCGCGUGAGUGAUGAAGGCCUUAGGGUUGUAAAGCUCUUUUACCCGGGAUGAUAACGACAGUACCGGGAGAAUAAGCUCCGGCUAACUUCGUG